rnacentral:rRNA from 1 species
GACGUAGGGCGCAAGCGUUGUCCGGAUUUAUUGGGCGUAAAGAGCGUGUAGGCGGCCAUGCAGGUCCGUUGUGAAAACUCGAGGCUCAACCUCGAGACGCCGGUGGAAACCGUAUGGCUAGAGUCCGGAAGAGGAGAGUGGAAUUCCUGGUGUAGCGGUGAAAUGCGCAGAUAUCAGGAAGAACACCCGUGGCGAAGGCGGCUCUCUGGGACGUGACUGACGCUGAGACGCGAAAGCGUGGGGAGCAAACAGG